CUCCUUCCGGGAAUCCUUCCAGGUUCCUCGUUGGCAUUGGCUUGGCUGUUCUUCUGCAAGUCGACAGCACAUCCCAGGUUCUGAAAGAAGGCAAAGAAAUGGAGGGUUCCUUGGAACAGGACAUUAAGAAGCAAAUUAUUCUGGGCAUAAGAGCUAUUGAGCCACCCGAGGAUGAAGAACAAACAGCGGAUAUUGAUCCCGGAAUGAGGCUGUUGUCU